GAUGAACGCUAGCGGCAGGCUUAAUACAUGCAAGUCGAGGGGCAGCAGGACUGUAGCAAUACAGUUGCUGGCGACCGGCAAACGGGUGCGGAACACGUACGCAACCUACCCAAAACUGGGGGAUAGCCCGGGGAAACCCGGAUUAAUACCUCGUAACCUUUUUAAGUGGCAUCACUUGAUAAGUAUAGCUCCGGCGGUUUUGGAUGGGCGUGCGCCUGAUUAGGUAGUUGGUGCGGGUAACGGCCCACCAAGCCUGCGAUCAGUAACUGGUGUGAGAGCACAACCAGUCACACGGGCACUGAGACACGGGCCCGACUCCUACGGGAGGCAGCAGUAAGGAAUAUUGGUCAAUGGACGCAAGUCUGAACCAGCCAUGCCGCGUGAAGGAUGAAGGUCCUCUGGAUUGUAAACUUCUUUUAUGGGGGACGAAACCCGGAUAUUCUUAUCCGAUUGACGGUACCUCAGGAAUAAGCACCGGCUAACUCCGUG
rnacentral:rRNA from 1 species